rnacentral:lncRNA from 1 species
GCCCACACAAAAAGAAUCAGCAGUGGCCAAUUGCUCAGGGCACCAGCACUGAGUCUUCUUCUGGGCUCAUAGACAAGGAAGUAGCAUUAAACAAAAAGCCCUAAUGAUAAAACCAUGAUACUAAGAGCAUGAUUGGAGGUUCUAGAUCUUCAUCACAGCUGCCUUGCCUGCCCUUCCAAAUCGAAAUGGGCUCUUCCACCUUCAAGCAUCCAUUAUGACAGGUGCAGUGAUGCUGCUAUUGAAGCAACUGUUUGCUUACAUCACCUCCACUUUUGUCAAAUUUUCU